rnacentral:lncRNA from 1 species
UCCUUCCUGCAGUAGGGGAAGUGCCGAGAUCCAGAUUCUUUAGGCUCGGAUGAAGGCAUAGCCAUUUUUACACAGGAUCUGAGAAUAGAUCUACGAAAUGAAGCCCAGAGAGAGAGAGGAGUGAGAGUGAGAGAGUGUUUGGGAGCCCAACUGCGAAUAUAGAUAUAGAUAUAGAUAAAGAGAGAGAGAGAGAGAGAGAAGGGACCGUUAAAAAAGGGUUGGUGACAUUGGCGGGGUUGUGUUGGUUUGGGAGGGAUCGUUUCAAAUUUUUAAAACGAAGAGAGAGAGUAGAGAGAGAACUUUAAGCUUGCGCUUAGCGGGAAUUUGAAUUAGAAUUAUUACUUGCAAGCACGCGCCGCCUGUGGGAGCUUCUAAAUGCAAGCCAAAUUGAUCUAUGUGCAACCCUUUUUCUCAGCACAGCCAAGCCAAGCCAAGCCAAUUUUAGGGGAUUGAGUUGUUUUCGACACACCUCCAUAGUCCCAAAUCGACCUCAUCAACUCCCCCUAACCCUAAAUCAUAACCACCACCUAUUCCACCAAAUCACAUCCGUGCCUCCCCACUAUCCCUGUUAUGAUCCAGUGCAAGGUAUGGGACUUGUCCCACAUCAGAAGAAUAGGCUUCUGAUGGGGGAUUAAUAACUCUUGGACACCCUUCCCUCAAUAGCUAGCUUUUUGGGAUGUGAGUUCUACCCAGGGGUUUGUUACAUUUGGAUCAGAGCGGCUUCGAUCCUGGAGGAGGCCGAUCCCGGGUGUUCGGAGGUGACCCGCCUCCGCCGUUGUUUGACCGGAUUGUCGAGGGUCACCCGCCGCCGUGUCGUCGCUCUAAAGAGGGAGGUUUUGUUUAUGAAUCCAGUGCAAGGUAUGGGACUUGGCCCACAUCGGAAGAAUGGGUCUUAUGGUGUAGGAUUAAAUAAACUCUUGGGCCCAUUCCCUCACUAGCUAGCUUUGGGGGUAAGUUCUCCCAGGGUUUUUUUAACAUUUGUUAGGAUCUAGUGCAGGUAUGGGACUUGUCCGCACAUCGGAAGAAUGGGCUUCGUGGGGUGAUUAAUAAACUCUUGGCACCCUUCCUCAAUAGCUAUCUUUUGGGGUAAGUUUUACCCAGAUUUGUUAUAUUGGUAUCAGAGCAGCUCGAUCCUUGGAGGAGGGGGCCCGAUCCCGGUUUGUCGGAGUUUGGCCGCCUACCGUCGUUGUUUGACCGGGUCGUCGGAGGGCCCACCCAUGCCGCCGGGAGUCGGCUCUUAAGAGGGAGGGGUUGUUUGUUAGAGCCAGUGCCAAGUUAUGGGACUUGGUCCCAAUCAGAAGAAUGGGCUCUGGUGGGGAUUUAAUAAACUCUUGGGCACCCUCCCCAAAUAGCUAGCUUUAGGGGUGAGUUCUACCAAGGGUUUUUGUUACAUCGGUAAUCAGAGCAGCUGCGAUCCUUGAGGAUGGGGCCGGGUCUCGGGUUGUUGGAGUGGGCCGCCGGUUGUUGACCGGAUUGUCGGAGGUCACCCCCCGCUGGGGUCGUCGGCUCUGAAGAGGGGAAGUUUGCUAUGAUCCCGUCAAGGUAGGGGACUUGUCCACAUCGAAAAAAAGAAUGGGCUUCUGGGCUUUGGUGGGGGAAUGAAUAAACACUCCUUUUGGGCACCCUUCCCCAAUAGCUAAAUUUUGGCGUGAGUUCUACCCAGAGGUUGUUUACAAUCCCCUGCCCUUUGCACCACCGUAUUGCUGCAUCUAACUGCCACUUUCCACAACUUCCCCCACCCCCCUUUGUGAGAACAUUACAAACUUGAGACUAUUAUCCACAUGUCUCUCUCUAAACGGGCAAGUAUUUGCAUAGGAGGCAGAGAAGGGGGCCGACUGUGGGCGAUGGUGGAGGCUAGGGUUGUUCACAAGUUGGUUCAGAGGCGGAUUUUGGGGUCACCCGAUCCUCGAAUUGAACUGGUCGGAUUAGAGAAAUUUGAAUUCGAAUCAAAUCCAAUAGAUGGUCAAGUUGGGUGAUUUUGACGUGGAAUUUGGCUCUUGCAUUAGAGUUCAAAUAGGCCACCGCCCAUCCACCCAAAUCCAUCGGCCUCCACCCAGAACCGUCCCUCGGCCAAGACCCACCAGGCCAUGGCCUUAGAGCUCCCACCAAAAAAAAUUCAAUUUAGGGCCCUCAAAUAUUCAAAAAUUUUCAAAUUUUAGGGACCACCCAUUUUUUGUGGGAAUAUAAAAAAUCAAAUUAAGAUCCAUUUAGGCUACCCAUUUUUAUUUUAGCCCCCAAAAAUUCUCAAAUUUUUAGGACUACCCGUUUAUUUUGGAACAUGGGAAAAAUUCAAAUUAGGCCCAUUUUUCUUAGGCUCCCAAAAAAAUAUCAAAAAUUCUUUAAAAUUUUGGGACUAACCUCCUUUUAUUUUGGAAUGAUUAAAAAUUAAAAUGGCCCAUUUUAGGGGUACCCAUUUUUAUUUUAGACCCCACAAAAAUUCUCAAAUUCUAGAGCCCCAAAAUUUUUUUUGGCCUGGGCCCCCCGAAAACUCAUGGACGAG